UCUUUUAACUGCCACGACAUCUCCACCCUACCACCACCACUCUUCCGGAAAGAUAAUAACUGUUAUACAUCCGUAGAAGCAACAGGAUUGAUUAGAUUACCUACAAAUGCAAAAUCGAAUUUCGCUUGGCACGGAGAAGACGAACCACAGUGACAAGAGACCGGAGGAACUCUCCGUCGAAGAGAGAGAAGACGAAUCAGUGCUGCUCUCCGUGGAAGCUCGCUGAGAGAGGGGAACGAUGCCCGAGGCGGCCCUGGAUGUGGAGGAAGCUAGCACCGAAAACACCAAUAAUGCCAAUGGCAACGGCAACGGCACCGGCACAGGCAACAGCACCGACUGCAGCGGGAAUGACAGUGGCGGCAACGGCCACAACGAGCGCAGGAGGCCGUCCAUCCAAAACGACAACCCGAUUCCCCUAGGCCCCUCCCUUUCCUCUGAUCACUGCUCGCCAACUCGGUCAUCUCUCACUGCGCUAGGCAACUCCUUCAAGCUGACCUUUUGUUUUCCGUGUUCUUUAUAUUCUCAGCGUGGUCACUGAACUUUCUCCACACUAGAAUGGUUUGUUGUUGGCUGGAGAUUGUCGCAUCGCAUGCAAUGUAAAUUUGCAUUUGUGCGAAAACUGUCGGGUAGAUCGUCACUGUAAAAUCUGAUUGCUGGUAUUCAAAUCACACGGAUUCAACUUCGAGUGGCCCUUUGAAACCAAUUUCUUCUUUCUUCGAAAAAAUAUGAACUUCUUAUUCACUGCA